GUUUCUCCUAAGACCGGUUUGGGGGUUACUUUGUCUGGCUCCGCGGCAUCAGGGAGUCCACCGACAACUUCGUCUCCAACGUUGUUGAAUAUCGAUUGCAGAUUUACAAAAUCUUCUAUUACUAUAUUUUAGAGGUCAAAACGGGUUAUUACGGGUCGAGGCGUGUUUCCCAGACACUUCUCUUAAAGUAUAAUAUAGGAACCCUUAUGCAUUAAAAGCUCACUUUUGAUCCAUAUGACCAAUUUGACCCGUUUUAGCUGUUUUUUUAUUUGACCCUUUUGACCCGUUCAAGAUAAAGCACAACCCGAAUGGGUCAAACGGCACGUGAUGACCCGUAUGAGGUUCAGCUAACUAUACCAGUGGAGGGUUAUGAUCCCAUCCAGUUUAGUCUUACAAAAAUGUGCGAAUCCAAGCAAAAUGAAGCAGGAACAUCUUCGAAAGGAUGGGCUCUAUUUGGAAUCUUUUCUUGCAUGAUCUUCAAGAAAAAGUGAGAGAAGAUAUGGGACCUAAUCACCCUUCUCAACAUGUCAUGGCUUAUACUGCUCUUAUACGUUAAACUCAAAAGAGAUUAUGAUAGUUUCUGUAUGGCAGUUUUCUUUGUAAUUCUGUAUCCAUCUAUUUCAAUUUUGAAAACAAAAGUAUACCUGAUACAUUGUGUUGUAACAGAAGCCACUUGGGUAUAUUUUGACAAAAUCCCAUUGUGUUAGUAUUUUUAUAAUUUCUUUUCGAAA